rnacentral:rRNA from 1 species
UACGUAGGUGGCAAGCGUUGUCCGGAUUUACUGGGCGUAAAGAGCGCGCAGGCGGUCGAAUAAGUCGAAUGUGAAAGCCCCCGGCUCAACUGGGGAGGGUCACGCGAUACUGAUCGACUCGAAGGCAGGAGAGGGUAGUGGAAUUCCCGGUGUAGUGGUGAAAUGCGUAGAUAUCGGGAGGAACACCAGUGGCGAAGGCGACUACCUGGCCUGUUUCUUGACGCUGAGGCGCGAAAGCUAGGGGAGCAAACGGG